rnacentral:rRNA from 1 species
UAUAAGGUCUGACCUGCCCAAUGAGGAUUUAAAUGGCCGCAGUAUUUUGACUGUGCAAAGGUAGCAUAAUUAUUAGUUUUUUAAUUAAAAGCUUGUAUGAAGGGUUGGACGAGAUAAAAUCUGUCUCUAUUUAAUUUGAGUAGAAUUUAACUUUUGAGUAAAAAGGCUUAAAUUUUUAUAAAAGACGAGAAGACCCUAUAGAUCUUUAUUAAAUUAGUAUUUUAAUAAUUUAGGAUUAUUUUCAUUUAAAUUAUUAAUUUAAUUUUAUUGGGGUAAUAUAGAGAUUAAAUAAAUUCUUUUUAUUUAUAACAUUAAUUUAUGAAUAUAGGAUCCAUUAAUAUUGAUUAUAAGAUUAAGUUACCUUAGGGAUAACAGCGUAAUUUUUUUGGAGAGCUCCUAUCGAUAAAAAAGUUUGCGACCUCGAUGUUGGAUUAAAAAUUAGCUUGGGUGCAGAAGUUCAAGAUUUUGGUCUGUUCGACCAUUAAAUUUUUACAUGAUCUGAGUUCAGACCGGCGUGAGCCAGGUCGGUUUCUAUCUUUAUUAAAGUAAAAUAUUUUAGUACGAAAGGACCAAAUAUUUGAUAUAGUUAUAUUUAUUUUUGAAUAAUAUU